UUCUUUCUUUCUUUCUUUCUUUCUUUCUUUCUUUCUUCUUCCUUUUCUUUCUUUCUUUCCCUCACACCUAAUUAACUUAACCUGAUGAAGAUAAUUUUCUGGGAAAGCUCUUAAGGAAAUGCUUCUGUAAAAGACCAACAACAUACCAGAUAGAAUGGUGGCUUGGCUGUGAAUAAAGUGAGUCUGUUGUGACAGAAGCCAGGCUGUGUGAAAGUAAAACUCACGAGCAUAUUGAAAAUGCAACCUGUUCACUCAUGGACGUUACUGGACACAAAUCCUUUUAUGUAUAUUUUAAGAUAUGAUUAUUACUCAGGUAAGUUUGACUUAGAAAUUAAAAACCUUCAAGAAAGCAUAGUAAAACCUAAUGACUUGAUUUGUAGUGAAAUACAGAGCCCACCACUUCCGGUCUUUGCUCUUAGGAAAAUGAUCUUCGGGACCACACAGCAUUUGCCGCAGCGUCUCUCUGGUUUCUCUUUCUGGAGAGGUGAGAUGUAGGUCAAGGUGAAGGUCAAGACCUCUUCUAUCAACAGCAAAAUUCACUGAGCCCCCUCAUCUCAUGGAAACAUAGCACAUUUGCCAACUAUGUCCAAUGUGGUUUGCUGUUGCAUGUGGGAGAACCAGAUUGGAUGUUGGGGUCAGCUGGAUGCACUCAGUGACUCACUGGGGAAUGUGAAGAGACCAUCUGGAAAAAGGUGCAUUGGUCAUAGAAAUCACUUCAUGGCCUCCUUGGAUGCAGUCGCUUUCUCUCCCAAACUCCCUGGAGUCUUAUUCUAGAAGAAGGAUCCAAAGCUGACACCUGCCCACUUAUCCUUCCUGAAACAUGUUCCAGGGGAUGGUCAAGUGAAAACCCAAGUUAGCCUCUUGGGGCUUUACUGAACCGACACUGGCAGGGAAAUCUCCAGAAAGAAGAUGAGAAGAACUGAGAGCUGAGAGAGACAACCCAGAAUUCUGUCUCUGCAAGGGCUAGAGUCCUAUGCUUUUCCCUCGAGAAGAGGCAGCAGGGAAGGCUUAACAGCGUCUGGAUGUGUGCUCCCCUCGGUGCUGGGUGGUUUUUCAGAGUCAGUCUUCACGGUUCCCAAGAUUAUUAAGAAGGGGAUUCCACUGUGGCCUUCACUCAGCCUCAGGGAAUGAUGUGGUUGCCAGUCUCUCCAGGCAGAAGGUAAGGAGGGUAGAUGCAAGACCAGGUUGAUGAGUUGUUUGUUGUAUGGUCUAGACCCUGGGAAAUGGACCAAUGAACCCUACUGACCUUGGGAUUCCCUGAUCCUGUGAGGGGCUUUCUGGGGGUGAAGUUACAAUUAGAUGGGAACAUUUGUACAAUUUCCUGGAGUGAAUGAAGUGACAGUGUUUAUGCCAAAUAUUCUAACAACAAACAAGUCUCUGAACCAGUCCACCACCGAGAGUGAGAGAAGAGUCUGCCUCUCCCUUAAAAUGUGACUGAUUUCCUAGAUUGCCUAAGAGUGGUGAGAAGUUAUCCACCCUCCUUUGUAGGAGGAGUCCGUGCUUUGAUGGGACACCCAGAAAAUAUUGUGUAAUCUACUCAGUUUCCAGGUGACACAGUCAAUGCCUGGUUGAUAGUAGAUGCUCAGUAAAUCCUUGUUGAUUGAGUGAAUGCAUGAAUAGUCCUGUUAGUUACACUCUGUAAGGGAAGAAGGCAGAGGAGUAUGCAAAGGUCUUUAUGGAAGAGGAAAGGCUCUCUCUGUGGAUGUUUGCCAAGUCUUUGGAAGCAGUACUGGUACCAAGAGACUCAUCAAAGAAGAUGCAACAUUAUUGAGAGUUUGUAUUUCCUGGGUGAGAAGAGAGUUGGGAUUCUCUGAUCCAACCUUCAAGUAGCAAGGCAUUAGGCAGCAGCAAAGGCAGAAGAAAGCAGACAAUGAAAGAGAACAUUUAACUAUGACCAAGCCCACAGGAUUGUCAUCUUUGUACCACUGAGGGGACCCCAGAGGAGGAGCAAGUUUGGGAGCGAAGAGUGGAGAGAUUUCUCAUUCACUCGUCAACACCUUGGAUGAAGACACAAAAGGCAAGAAUAAUCGUUUUGUUUGUAUAAUAGAUUUAUCAUGCUUUGUAGGCUCCUAAAAAUAGAGUGCCUUGCGAUCAAACCCUAGUUACAGCAAGAUCAAAAUCAACUUGCACAGUACAGAAGACAAGAGAGAAAUAGAGAUGAGGAAUGAUAAGCAGUUGAAUAUAAAACUUAGUUUUUGGCUUCCUAGCAGCUAAGAUGAAAAGGGAAGCAUGAAUUAUGUAACUUUAAUAGUCAAGUAGGAUGACAUAUAUUUUAUUAAGAGAGAAAUGUGUGUGUCUGGCCAGGGGUCUGGGGAAUGGGUUGUGAAUUCACUUGAGUCUAAGGAAUGAAAAUGAGAAUUCCUUAUCCAAGGAGUGUUGAACAUCCCUUCUGUAAUCAAGGUGAUUGCGUAUUGCAGUGGAAUUCACUCUAGUUUUUAAGACAUUCCACACAGAGAACCUUUUACUUUUAAACUUCUCUGAAAACCUAUUGGUGUUCUGAAGAAAACUUUGAGGGAUAUGGGAGGUAGUAUGCUUAAGAGAUGUGGUCUCCAGGAGCUAUGUCUAUUGCCCAGUUAGUUAUAGCUUUGUGAAACAUGUUCAUUAAAUUUGUAGAUGACAGCGGGAGCAAAAUUGAUUACUCACUGGAGUAAAGAAUUGAAAUUCUCCAUAAGAUCUUGAUGGACUAGAAUGAUGAGCUAAAUCUAAGGGGUUGGCUUUAAGAAGAGAUGAGGAUAAAGGAAAAAAGAGAGGGGAAGGAAAGGAGGAAAAGAAAGGAAAAGAAAGGAGGAAAGGAAAAGAAAGAAGGGAGGAAGGAAAGAAGGAAAGGAGGGAGGUUCACAACAAUAAACCCAGCCUGUAUCUAGAUGUUAAUCCUGGUUCCAACAAUGACUGUGUGUAUAACUAGGGGUGUGCUAGGGAACUUCUGUUUCCUUGCCUCUCAAACGAGAAUUCUAAAAAUCAAUGAAACUUUUGUAAUUGAAAAAAUAAACACACAUUUUUGGAAGGAAAUUUGAAAAGUGGAGAAAAGCAUGAAGAAAACAGUAAUCACCCAUUUCUCUCAAAAACACUAAGAGUUUACUGUCCUCCUUUAUAUUGGUCGCAUAAUUUGUUCAUGCGAUGCAUAGUCUUGCCUCUUUGUUUUCUUCAUUUAAUGUUAUAAGCGUCUUCUCAUCUUAUUAAACCUCUUCAUUAUAACAAUUUUAAUGGCAAUGUAAUAGUUCAUCAUAUGAGUAUAUGUCAAGGGACUCAAACAUUA